CAAUAGUUUGAAACCUUGAAAGCCAAAACAAACACACGAAUUUGGUGCUUUAUGUAUGAGGUAACAUUGACAUCCUCAGACUUACUGGGAAAAUAAGAAAGCAAUCCCUAUUGCAAACUGUUAAUGAAUCCAUUCAUACACAUAAAUUGCUAAGAGAAAUAUACUAACAUUGAGAAUAACUAACGAAACACUGUCACCUAAAAAAUCCACUCUCAAUCCUACAUCAAAUUUCCUUCCUGUGUGGUUCAAAUUCAUAAGGUAGUGGAAAGAUCAACGGAGUGGAUGAGGUACGUCAGAGCCAGAGUCAACAACAUCAGCACAUACGCUAUCCCUUGAUCUACUGA
rnacentral:lncRNA from 1 species